rnacentral:rRNA from 1 species
AACAUUGCCCUUAGCAAAUUUCAUAUUAAGGGUACGUCCUGCCCAGUGACAUACGUGUUCAACGGCCGCGGUACCCUGACCGUGCAAAGGUAGCAUAAUCACUCGCCUUUUAAUUGGAGGCUAGCAUGAAUGGAUAAACGAGAGCUUUUCUGUCUCUUUUAUUUUCCUAAAAAUUAACCUUCAGGUGAAGAUGCCUGAAUUAAAAUGAAAGACAAGAAGACCCUGUUGAGCUUUACCUUAACUACAGUCAAUUAUCAAUAUCCUAAUAUUUACUCACUGUUUUCAGGUUCUGUUGGGGCGACAAGGGAACAAAUUAAUCUUCCCACAAAACUCAGAAUAUUUGUCACAUUACUGAUCCUACCUAGAACAAAAGAAUAAGCUACCACAGGGAUAACAGGCUAAUUCUUCUUGAGAGCCCACAUUAACAGAAGAGUUUGGCACCUCGAUGUUGGCUUGGGGUAACCUAUGUAGUGCAGCAGCCCAAUAGGAAGGUUUGUUCAACCUUUAAAUCCCCACGUGAU